ensembl:snRNA U6 U6 spliceosomal RNA
GUGCUCAUUUUGGCAGCACAUACACCGAAAUUGGCAUGAUACAGAGACAAUAUGGCCUCUGUGUAAAGAUGACAUGGAAAUGCAUGAAGCGUUUUCUAUUUUU